AGGACCGCGUCCGCCUGCGGCUCCGAAGCUCGGGGUCUCCCAGGGCGCUGGGACUUGGGCCCGAAGACCCGGAUCCGCAGCCUCAGCGAGGCCUCGUCCUUCACAGUGCAGAUGCGAAGCUUUCAAGGACACGUCUGCACCGGCCCAACGGGGAGGGGUAGAGCUCAUCCUCAGACCCAAAGAUUGCUCAACCUCUGAAGGAAUCUCCAGGACGCCAGGACCAUAGGAAGCUGGGCCUCCCCAAAGAGGACUUCUUCCCUGCAGGGCCUCAGGCACAGCCAUGGAGAACAAUGAGCCAGGGAGAUUCUUCCAGGAAGCUGGACCAGGACCUGGCUCCAUUGUGGGGAAGUGAGCCCUGGCCACCCUGUCACCCUGUCAGCAGCGUAUGGUGUUGGCCAUGGACUGGCAACCCCUGCAUGCUCUUCCCUUUUCCUCUCUCCCAAAGUUGGUCUUUAUUGUGGAUAAUCUAUUUUCUCUCCACCAUCAUAGAUUUUAUGUUUUGAGGGUGAUUAAAUUUAUAAUUUAGCCACCAUUACAGAUAAUAAGCCACAUCUAGACCUCAUUGAGAGGAAUGCACAUUAUGCAGAGAUCCUGAUUUUGGAGUUGGUCAGGACUUGGAUUACCUUCCUUUGAGAAGAGGACUUCUGGUCAAGGUGGCAGACUAGGUAAAUGCUGUGCUCACCUCCCAUGACUACAGCAGAAUUACACCUAACCUACAGAACAACCAUCAUUGAGAAUCACUUGAAGUCUAGCUGAACAGAAGUUCUAUAACCAAGGCCAUACAGAAGAAGCCACAUUGAGACUGGUAGGAGGGGAGGUGAUGCAAAACGGGCUGGUCCCACACCCAUGUGUGUCUGUUAAGAAUCGGAAGGGCUAUCUCGGCUGCAGAGGUCUCCCCCUGAGGAGCAAGGGGUCCAAGCCCCACACCAGGCUCCCCAAUCUAGGGUUUCAGUGUCAGGAAGAGAACUCCCCAUAACUUCUGGCUAUGAAAACCAGUGGAGAUUGUGGUUGAGUGAGAUGGAGGGCUGCUGGAGUCCCAGGCAUUCCUCUUAAAGGGUCUGCAUGUGCACUUAUUGCUGUUGGACUCACUCACUCUGAGCUCCAGUGUGGGAGUAGCAACAUGAACAGUGCCAGGGAUAUAUACAGGGAGGAACUGAAUUGUCUGGACUGACACCAAGGGCUGAAGGGGCAGCUUUCUCCCAGACGAAAGUGUUGGCAGAAGCCAUUGUUCCUUUGUUGAGCCCUCCCCCUACCCAGCCUGCCUGUGGAGAUGGGCACAAUAUCUGAGUCUCCAUCAACCUGGCUAAUACUGUUUGCCCUGCUCUGAUGAUUCCCUGAGACCCCAUCCCACACAAUUAGCAGGCCCACCUAAGCCACUUCCAAUGGCUCUUCCAUACAAAUGGCCUGUCUUGGCUUGUGCUGUGGACUUUCCUAAAAUCUCUCAAAGGUUCGCAACCCCCAAACAAGCAGCAUCCAGCCUCGGUGUGCCCCAUACCUCUUGCUAAGCAGCCCCAAGUACAGCACUAGUGGCAGGCAGCCUCAGUUUGCAGCUUAGCCUCUCCUAGUCACCUCCAAGCCCAGCACAAGUGACAACCAUCUGAAGAUCAUGUUGUAGCUCAUCCCAAGUGGCCCCAGGCAGGGCCUGCACCAGAGCACCUCCCAAGAGCCCCAGGACCAACAAAAUUAGUGACCAGCUUCAGACCACACAGGAGCACCACCAGGCCACCUCCACAGAUAACACACCCAAAAGACAGACUGGGCAGGCACCAUAGCCCCACUAAAGAGAAUCCUGCUCUGUAAGGUCAGCCUCUGCACAACAGCUCCUCCACUGUACUCACAGCCAGUCCUCACAUCCAAUCAGCUUGAGGGUCAACUCCUCCCACUGACAUGUCAACAGCAAUCAAGGCUCAACUACAACAAGAGGACACACACAGCCCACACAAGGUACACACCUGUAGCAACCAGCUAGUGACCAGGGAGAUUGCACCACUGGGAACCACGGGACACUUACUACAUAAGGCCAUUGUACCAAGACAAGGAGACAUAGCAGCUCUACCUAACACAUAGAAAUAAACAGAGGGAGGCAGCCAAAAUGAGGAGACAAAGAAACAUGUCCCAAAUGAAAGAACAGAACAAAACUCCAGAAAAAGAACUAAAGAAAAUGGAGACAAGCAAUCUACCAGAUGCAGGGUUAUACAGUUUCUCAAUUAUCUCAGUGAGAAUUUCAACAAAGAGAUAGAAAACUUAAAAAUGGAGAUAGAAAACUUAAAAAAGAACAAGUCAGAAAUGAAGAAUAAAGUAACUGAAAUGAAGAUUACAGGGAAUCAACA